UCACCGGCGGACGGGUGCGUAACACGUGGGAAUGUACCUAGUGGUUCGGAACAACUCAGGGAAACUUGUGCUAAUACCGGAUAAGCCCUUACGGGGAAAGUUUUAAUGCCAAAAGAUGAGCCCGCACUUGAUUAGCUAGUUGGUAAGGUAAUGGCUUACCAAGGCAACGAUCAAUAGCUGUUCUUAGAGGAAGACCAGCCACAUUGGGACUGAGACACGGCCCAAACUCC
rnacentral:rRNA from 1 species